rnacentral:lncRNA from 1 species
CAUGAGAUGUCUUAUUGCAUUUUUAAAAAGAUUAUCAUGAUUUUUUCAGUAGCCUUAGAGAUUGAUACUCGAAGAGGUAGGAAUACAACAUGAGAGAUCAUUAAUUAUUAAUACAAUCAAAUUGAUCUUCUUCGGAACUUUUUUUUUCUUUUGGUCGGAGGGAGUGGGGCUGGUGGUGGAAUUUGAAGCGAACAACUCACAAUGAUAUCCUUCUGGGGUCUCAUUUCAACAUCAGUCUCCUGAUUCACUUUCACAUGUGGCAGUCAAGCCUAUCCAGAGCAGGAAUAAUUUUUCUCAGCCUUAAUCCAUUGGACCAAAUUGUUGAAAUUCUUGCCAGAGCUCCCAUCUUUGGUAACACUGUUGAUAACCUUGGUUUUUAAUUUUAAGGCCCUUUUUUUGUAUUCUCCAACAGUGAGAAGCUGCUCAAUUUUAUUCUUUAUUUCUUCUCGUGCAAUGAUUCCAUUUGCAUCUCGUUCAAAUCCUAAACCGAUCUUCCAAACAUCACAUAUGUAUUUCUCAUUAAGGAACUGAUCUGCAAAGUAAGGCCAACAGAGGAAAGGAACACCACUGCUCAAACCUUCGAUCGUAGAGUUCCAACCACAAUGGCUGAGGAAGCAAGCCACCGAAGGAUGGCUCAAGACCUGUUGCUGAGGUGCCUAGCCUGCUAGUAGCCCACGGCCUUGUAUUCGAUCUUUGAAGCCUUCAGGAUAUGCAUUGUCUGUCUCGGUAGUUAAAUCUUGCCUCACAACCCACAAGAAUGGCCUAUUGAUGAGUUCAAGCCCAAGUGCCAGCUCUCUGAAUUGUGUCGGAUCAAAAACUGUGAAGCUCCCAAAUGCAACAUAAAUGACAGAUUGCGGAGGCUGCUUAUCAAGCCAUGCCAAGCAAUCUGAAUCUUCAGGCCAGAAGGAGCCAACCGAUUUUCCAAGUCGAUUACUUGCCAAAAGAGGGCCUACAGGUAGUAUUUGAGGAAAUAAAGUGAAGGCUGCCGCCUCUAAUUCACAACUUGUAUUGCAAAUCAACCAAUCUGCCAGUUUAACUAGUGUGUUAGAUUUUAAAAAGGUAUCAAAAGAAAAUUUUUGUAAUGUGAGAUCACUAAAGCAGGUCCAAACAAGAUGUUCAGGCUUCAUCUCUGGCAUGGUAGGUGACAACUUUACCAUCUGGUUCUUCAACACGGUACCUGCACUAAAAAGCUUGACGUGUUUAGAAACUUUUCAACUGAAUACAAAAUAGCAAAAUGUAGAACCGAUAGUACUAAUGCGUGUUCUGAUGAUUAGCAGUUUGAUGACUGCAAUUAAAUUUAUCUUCUUUCUCUAAUGGUGCUGGCAAGGAAUUAUCUAAAAUGAGUCAAUCUUACCAGUGCUACUUAUGAUUCCAUCAUCCAUGAGCUUUGGGAUGCUGAAUAUCUGUGCCAAUAGUGAAGCUGACGCUGGCCAGAAGGCUACCGCCUUGAUUCUCAUUUUCUUUGCAAUCUCUAGUGCCCAUCCCAUAGUCUCAUCAGCAAUAAUGCAUGUGAUUUUAUCACAGUCAGAUUGAUUUAUGCUCUUUAUUAGACACUCCAGAUUCGCAGGCAUGACCUGGUAAACUGAUAGCGUCAGUUUGAUCAGGUCAUUUCUGUCCUCCCAGGAUUCCAAUCCAUCUGGGAUUGACACCAGUUGCAUCAUAGCUGGUACUUUGUCCUCCUGUGAUAAUGAUUUGAUAACUCUCUUGUGAUCGAAUUCAGAGUUCACAAUUGUUACUCUAAUACCCUGCCUGACUAAGCACAAGGCCAGUUCCAUUAAGGGAAGAACAUGACCUUGCGCUGGAUAAGGAAUGGCUAGAACAUGUGGAUGAGGAUGAUUCAUGAUAUUUUGUUGUUAUCUUAUCCUGCCUUUCCUCUAAUGCAGAAAUUGUAGUACAAGAACAGAAGAACUUCCACACUUCUCCCACCGUUUAUAGACUGCUUAGGAAAAUGCACGUGCAUUAUGCGUGUUGGAUAAUGAAGCAGAAUGUCAUUAUUCAAUUACGAAUUAACACUACUUAAUUUGCCUUAUGAAUUUAAAUAACAACAUUAGGAGUUGUGAGUUAAAAUUAUAAUUACAACACUUUGUUGAAUUACAACAACUAAUUCUUUAUAUGUGUUAUUUUUGCAAUUCUAGGUUUUACAUUGAUUCUUUUAUACGCAACUCCUUUGUCUAUAUUCCUCUAUGUCUUUGAUUAAGAAUACCCUUCACGUCUUAUUGUUAUUUGUCUUGUUGCGUUCUACACAUUUUAUAUUAACUUAAAGUUAAAAUAAAAUUUUUUAUGUGUCUUUAAAACUCCUUAAAUGAUCUAUAUGCUUUGCAAUUCUUAAAUACAUCCAAGGGGAGGGUCAGGUUGGAUGAUAAGGUGUAAGGGAUUAUAAGUAAUAGAUCUUGAACUCAAAAUCUCCCACUUAGGAAAAACAAUAUUUAGUCAUAAUUUAUCUUAUCAAAUUACAAUAAUGCUAAGUAGUCAAUUUGUACACACAUAAUUUAUUAAGUAUUCAGUCUUUGAAUGGCUAAAACUAAGGAGCAAAAGUUUUUACAUACAUCAGGUAUUGAACUUCUAAUUAAAUGGCCAACUGGUUUGAAAAAUAUAAAGUCUUCAUAUUCUGGCGCUCUGGAGCGUGCAAUAAUCCUGAUCAUACAAUAUUUUGUUGAAUAAUUUGAAAGAAACAGAGAAGAUACCUCCAAGAACAUUAUGAAAAACAAGAAAUAAAUUUGAAGGAGGAAUAGGUUGGAUUGUUCGAGGGGAGAGAAUGUAAGUGGGUUGGGUGGUUCGGAAGGGAAGGGAAUGUAAGUGAAAAGUCCCGCUUUUCUACUUAUACUAUAAAAAAAAACAUUUAAAAAAAAUCAAAUCUACAAAGUAGUUAUGUUUCUAAAAUUCUAGUAUUGCACCCAAAAAAGAAAAAUAAUCCAAUCCUACUUAUACUGAAUAGGAUACUUUAAAGUACUUAAAUUCUUGAAUAUAAAUUGAACAAGUUGAUUUAGUGUCUUACCAAUCACAGUAGUAAGUUGAAUCGAUUAUCAACUGUUUUCUUUAGUUAAGUCCACAUUUUACUAGAGGGCUAAUGUAAUUUUGCAUCUUUAGCGCAUAGGGAUCAACUAUUGAAAUUCAAGAAUAUUUUUCUAGGAUGAGGCGAAUUUCAGAAACUUUUGAAAUCGAAAUAACUUUAUACCCUGCUAAAAUGCACACUCUGAAGUGCUAAAUGGAUGGGCAUUAAAGAACCCCCUCUGUGGGCAUGAAAGACAUGCACAAUUAGUUCUGGUAUAGAAUUGAUUCCUAAGUCAAGGAAAUUUAUUUAGAACUUAUAACUACAACCAAUUAGAAAGGUAGAUAGCACAAUUAAUUUUGUGCCUUGAAUUUAUUUAGUAUUACAACACAUUGGGGAGAAAUUUAAUCCCUGAAUCAAGUACAGAUGAAAAUAAAGUAGGCUGAGAAGUUAAAAAUAUAUUUAAAAAAUGAAAAGGUCAUACUAAAAAGAACAACAAUGUUUUUGCCUUAGCAACUUGUAUCUCUUAACUUUAAUUUCUGUUCUUUUAGAGGCAAAAACUAAAGAAAUAAAAGCUAUAACCUAUGUGCAUAACUAAAAUUUAUAAUACCACAUUAUAACCAUAUUAAGAUAUUCCAAUAAAAAUUUAGUCCUACUUAAACUUCACUAGUAAUAGUUCAUGUGUUUUGCACGUGAUUGUAAUAUUUUAAAAUAUAUUAUUCUUUAGAUACUAAAAAUUUUUUAUGAAAUUUUGAUCAUCAACAUCAUAAUAUAGUAUUUUUAUGUUAUUUAUUUUUUAAGCUAGUUACUUUUAAAAAUUUUAUCAAAUGAAAAGAGAUAGAAAACAUUCCAAUAGUUGACAUGUCCCUUAGAAUUGAAUUUGGAAUCAUGUACCAAACACUUUCUGAUUUAUAGCUUGAAUUCUAACAUAUCAAAUAUUGAUAACAUCAUGUUUUACCAAAAUUAUUGUAUAUUCAUGGUUCUAUUGCAUAUAAACCACAAUCAUUGCAAUUUUUUUAUAAAUGAAGAAUAUAAUUAAGUUAAAAAAUAAAUAAACAAACAUGUAAUUUGAAUUCUUGAUAUUAUGUUAAUUCUAUUUUUGCCAAUAGUGGAGUAUAAAUCAUUCACGGCGUAAAGUUUUUUUUUGGCUUGUACAUUCUAACAAUUGAAAGUUUAUAGAUAGAGAUAGUUGGAGGUUUUCCAUUUUCCUUUUCUUUUAUUCAUAUUUUUAGCACAAUCCAAUGUGAAGCAAAAGCAACAAGUCUACUUUUUGCAUAUGAGCACAAUAUUUUUGGUUUUAGUAUUAGUUUUUUUUUUUUUGAUGAUCAUGGAAUUGGAAUGAGAAUUGUGGCUAAUUAACAAUUUUACUAUUAAUUUUUUUGUAUAUUGCAGUGUUUUAUUUUUUAAUUGCCAACUUUUAAUCCAUAAUCGCUAUCAUUAUUAUCAAUUAUUAGAAUCAAUUAUUGGAAUGCACUAAAUAUGUCUAAUUACAAUUGUCACCAUAAAUAAAAUUUACUUAAUUUUAAAGUUUUUCAUUUCAUAACCGCUUCCAUUAUUCGCUAAUAUUGCAAUACAAUAAAUAUAUGUAAUCAUUAGAAAAAAUAAGGGUAUUUUGGGCAUCACCAAAAACAAUUUGGAUAUCAUUUUCAUUUUGUCAUUCUUCAUUUUAAAUGUACUCUUAUUAUAAUUUUUAUUUUAUUAUUGGAGAUGGCUUCUACCUUGAUGGAUGGAAUUGGUUUGCUCAAACCAAUACAAAUGAAGCAUUACUAAAUUAUUGUCAAUAACAAUGUUUGUUUUCCCUUGGAUAUAAGUGAUUUGGAUGUUGUCUUUGGUAUUAUUUGAAUUGUAUUCUAACUUUUUAAUUCAUUUGCUAUUUACUUUAUGUUAUUUUAUGAAUAGUUUUCAACUUUUUUCAAUUUUUCUUGUUUUGAUCGGUUGCUAUUAAUGAUAAUAGUGGUUUGUAUGGUGCUACUUCAGAUUUCUUUUUUUCCAAUUUAAUACUUCUAUUUCAGUUAUAAAUGUGUCAUCAUUUUUUGUAUAUUGAAAUCCAUUGGCUGCAAUAUGAAAAAUUCUUUAUAUUGGCAAAGAGUGCAUAAUUGUAAAAUUUGCUCGUGAUAUUUUUAUGAAGAUAUACAGAUGAAUAAGUGUUCUCCUCUCCUUGUAUGUUUCUCCAUUUUCUAGAGACUGUCUAUAUUUAAACAUUGAAUUUUUUUUUACAGUCUCAACUGAUGACUAAUGAGAAAUUUUUCAUGCUUCAAUUAAGAAAUUUUGAUAUGUAUAAUAAUUGGAGAUGGAGUCUAAGGGUAGGUAAAUAGUUUUUAAUGAGCAAUUUUUAAUUAUAAUUGCCAAUACUAUUAUGAUGUAAUCAAUUGGAGUGUUUUACUUCUUUUAAUUAAUGCCACAUUAAAAUACAAUAAUUCUAAUUAAAAGAUAUGAGGGUAAUUUAGGGAUAACAAAAACUAAGAUAAAAAAAAAGUGCUUACACUUACACUCCCUAAUACCAAGAGUGGAGUCCAAGGUUAGGUAAAUAGUUUUUAAUGAGCAAUUUUUAAUUAUAAUUACCAAUACUAUUAAGAUGUAAUCAAUUGGAGUGUUUUAUUUCUUUUAAUUAGUACCACAUCAAAAUGCAAUAAUUCUAAUUAAAAGAGAUGAGGGUAAUUUAGGGAUAACAAAAAUUAAAAUAAAAAAGUGCUUACACUGACACUCCCUAAUAACAAGAUUCAUACUUUUUAUAUAGUAAUAAUAAGACAAUUUAAAGUCCUUAAACUGAUAUUUUAUGGAUGAUAAAGUGAAUAGGCUGAUUUAAGAUGAAUCAAUACCAGUAGUUUUCUUCAAAGGGUAAUGUAAUUUUGCAUCCUUAAAGUAUUGGGAUCAAGAUUCUUUUUCUACAAGUUUUACUUGUGACUAUUUAGUCCCUAAAAAUCUAUUUUCUUGAUUAUUUUGACUCCAUUUAAAAGUGGUGAUUGUUGUUCUUAGAAGGAUGAAAAAAGCAUGCACAAUCUCUAGCCUAGUGAAAAAUAAGCAUUUGAAUGGAAAAUUAGAGGAUAACAAGAUUACACGAAAGUUUUUCUUCAAAAUGGGGAGAGAGAACACCUAGUUUGAUCAUUAAAUUUGUAAGUAUUACCUCAUUGAUUAUGAUUAGAAAUCUGGUUGACUUCUCAUCUCCUAAACUAUUAUGUUACUCUCCAUGUAGGUUGUUGGAUACUUUAUAAAAGUAUCAGACAAUCAAAUGCAUGAGCUAGUGUUGUAUGAGCUAAUGUCUGCCAACGAUGAGCCCAAGCGGGAUCCAAUGGAUUGAUAUGAUUUUCUUUGGCAUCUUCAAUGGUUUCAUUUCCUAUACACAUGAGCAGGUUUGAUGUUACAACAUUACCAUAUUCUAUAUUAGGUCACGUUUUGAGUUUGGAGCCAAUCUGUGGUGGUGGUGAUCAAUGUCUAAUUGGGAAUCAUUUUCCUUGCAACCUUCUUAGCUUAAAUUUAAUGUAUUCUGAGGCUUCAAUUUUACUUUCUGAAGGGAACAACCUCUUUAUUGUUGAGCUAUACUAAAAUUCAAGAAAAACUAACAACAUGAGAGUCCAGUGUCCUUUUGUUUUGCUUUCUCAUCUCUCUCUCAAUUUUUUUCCCCUUUCUUUCCUUUUCUUCUUUUUAGUUUCAUGUAGAUUUUUUGCAGAAAACAUUAGGAGGACAUGAUAUCAACUCGUGUCCAGUGAAAUCUGACAUAAUAACUAUGUUAUCGUAAUUUUAUACUCCUGUCCUGAUUCCUGAAGCACUAAAUAUGUUCGUGGCAGUUCCUAGAAAGCUUUUCCUUCGCGUGCGUAAAAUAUUAUUUACUUUCUCCCUUGACCUUAUUUGAGUGGAAAACCCUGAUUCUUUUGCCACCUUAAAUAUUUCCUUUAGGUUUUUACCGAACCAAAAGAGUUGGCAUGAAAAAAUAUAUAUAUAUAUAUUACCUUCAGGAUGAAUCCAUGUUUUAUAACCAAUUAGGAGGACGUAUUUUAUAACCCCCCUUAAAUAUUUCCUUUAGGACGAAUCCAUGAAAAUAUAAAUUACCCUGCAGCUUUCUGACUUACUGCAUAUAAUUGGUUUCUUCGUUCCUGGGUAGGUAAUGUUUCUUUUCCGUGCUAAUUGAUUUUGACAGUGCAACCUCUGGAUUCUUUAGGAAGAUACCUUGUGAAAGUAGUAUGUGCAGCGUAAAUCCUUGUGAUCAGCCAAACAAAAUUUCGAAAUACCAAUCUGUAAAACCUCCAGACUCAUUGGAAGAUUCCUUAUGAAUGUGGUAUGUGCAGAGCUAAUUUAAAUGCCUAUAUCAGCUAAGUAAAAGUUUGAAAUUCCAACUCAUAAACUUGGAAAACACUAAAAAACAAACCCAGAUAGGUCUCAUGUGUUCUGAAAAGGGACUAGGUUUGAAAGCAUUGAACUCAUUUGACUGCAAGUGGGAAUGUAUGGUUUUCCUUCGUAAGUCCUAGUAUAUGCAUUUACGGUCGAGAAUUCCUCUUGGUUUAUGUAAGAAUUAAUGCUUGGCUUAGCUGAUCCAGAAUUAUAGCUCCCAUUGCUAGCGUUUUGAAUACAAUGCAAGAUUUGGACCGAAAAUGACUGGACAAGAGUUUUAAUUCUCAAGUCCUAUGUGGAAAAACUAAGCCUUUCACAUAAAGCAGAAGAAUGUACUUUCAUCCAUUACUCACACGAACAUCCCAUUGUACCAGUAGAUUUAAAAAGUAACCAAGGAUGAAAAGAAAGUACCGUGGAUUAGUCUCUGAACACCCCCCCCCCCCCCAAAAAAAAAAAAACUCCUCCUUCCCACCCCAAAAAUAGAGAAAAUCUUGUUCAAGCAAAUUUUGUGUCACCAUGUCAAUUAAAGAAAUUCUUUUCACAAGAGCUUAUGCUGAUGAUAAUGAUCCUUGUUUUCGGUCCUGUUCACUUUACAUUCUCUAAGGAAGUGAACCAUAACUUAGGGGGAUAGUGAUUGCGUACUAACUGUCCAACGCAAGAUAAAUUAGUUCCAGCAUAAAACAGGAUUAUGACAUCCUUAAGAGAAGAUAUUGUAGUUCACAAAAUUCAUCAAUUUAGGUUCUGAAUUUCAAAUAGUUAGUCUAAAAGCUAUGUGCUGGCUAGUCAAAAUUCGGCCUUUCAAGAAAUAUAACAUCGAAUAUUUUAGUUACUCUAGAUGUUCGAGGUCCCUAUUACCCAACACCAAAUGCAAAUUCAAUGAUCUUGUGUAUGUGAUAUCCUAGCAAGGAUUUUUCUUUUUCCAAGUGAAAUUAUGUAAGAAAUUUGGUUGUUUUGGUUGUCAGGGCACUUGAAGGAAGUCCGGAUGGUGGUUUAAACUGGCAUAUUUUGGAUGAGAAAACUUCUCAAACCUUUAAAGAACGCUUUCAGCGGAAAGUACUUGAGGUCAAAUCACCAGGAAUUCUAGCAAAUGCCUUCAGGUAAACUUGACAGAGUUUCUUGAGUCGCUUCUAAUUUGGUUUUAUGUAAUCUUUGCACACAAUAUUUUAAUGGAUCAUGAUCGUUAAAAUUGCAGGUUAAGGUUCGCAGCAGUAAGAGAUCCAACAGCAACUUCAAGGGUUCCAGAAUCCAGAUAGGUAGUAUUGACUUCUAUUCAAAAGCAGAGUCUACCUCUUAAGAAUAAAAUGGUCAAACAUUGGUCUGGUUGUCCUGCUAUGGCUUCAUCCACAUCUUCACUACAAAUUAGGGGGAAAAUCUUAUGCCAAGCCAUUGAACUUCUCCAUCCUUGGUUUAUUUAUUCCGUACCAAUCCCAUGAACCAUGUAUAAGGCUUAAUUGCCAUGAGGGGUAACUUUUUAUGUUGCUUGCAGAUCUGAGAUGCAAGAAAAAAAAAGCAGAGAGUGGAGGAAAGUGCAUAGUUGAUGUCGAGUUGUAAGAACUUGGAGUUACCAUUCUGUUAUGCCCAUAGCAUUUUUAGAAUAAGAUUGCUUUUGAUUGAUAAUUGUUUCAACAGCACAGAUGAUAAUAUGUGGUAUAAUUGUUUGAGUUCUAGUAUCAGUUCAUUAUGUUCAUGUACGGUUGGCUGGACAAGGAAGACAAAUAGUAAUCAGUUGUUCUCCAGGCUGCCCUUAUACCUGAUUUGUGAAAUGAACCCCAUAUGAUAUGCAUGGAAUGUUGCUCUCACAGUUUAUUCAUUUUAAGUCUUGCUCUGUGUAUCUGUCUAUAUACAAGUGGCUAAAAAGCUCUGCAUUUCAUAGACGGUUGAAUGUUUUCAAUUUUCCCGACUUCUCCGUCCUUACAUUUUCGGGAAUAGAAUUGCACGCUGAUAACAGUAAAUUUGUACACAAAAUUGGUAAUAUAAAAAUUACGUACUUAGGUCAACUUCAUGAUUCUCAUUCCAACGUACAAAGUGUAGAAUUCUGCUGCACCGCUUCACCUCUCCUCUUCUGGGCAUCCUCCACCUUACUCCUCAGCCCUUCCUUUUCUUUCUUAAGACUCCAAGAGUCUCCUCCCUUGCUGUACCUCAGAUCACUCCCCUUAAGACCUACUACAUUAGAAGGAUUCCAUAUAAAGGUGAAAUUGCAAGCCUCAUAUCUGUUCUUGAUAGGUAGAGCUCACCAGUCACCAUUGUAACGAAUAUGGAACAAAUGUAUUUGCCAAUGUUAAAUCAGCAGAAGUUAGAAGCCGAAGACUGACUCAUUUUGCUUAAAAAAGUUUGAUCAUAUUUUUCAUUUAUUAGAGCAUCAACAUGAACAGUGCAAGCUAAUUGUUGUUCUGGCUUUUGUCAGGUAACAAUGAGUUUUUUAACAGUUAAGGGUUAGUCAACUGAAGAUGCACUUGCCCGUCAAUUUCAUUCUUUUCCAUCGUGUGUCCUUCAUGCGCCACUGCUUCCUAUUUAACAUAUUUUGAUGUGAGUAAGUAGCUAAUGGAAAACACUAUUCAAACAGAAUCAUCAACUGAAAACAGGAUUAUGUGUUUUGUUUGGUAAUAAGUAUUCUGAGGAGGUGCUUGAUUAAGCAAUGAAUGAACAAGAAUUCUGGGAGCACAACUUUCAUAUUUAUGCAUCGGUGGCUUGUGGGAAAUCUCAUUUGCAAGUCAAUUAGAAAAGCAAGUGUAUCUUGAAGUCCUGCUAUGCUUGAAAGAUACUAGUCAAACCUGCAUUCUGCAGGAUUUCAGCAGGUUACGAAUCAGACAUGUAUAUCAGCCUAUCAGGUUGACAACCGACUUGCAUAAGUGCUUGAGAAUGGGGAAAUUUUCUCCAAAUUUAAUGCAGAUUUUUCGUAAAGAUAUUUUAGAUAAUGAGUAAAGAUUUUGGAGAUAGGCUAGACAAAUACAAAGCCACUGAGCAAGCUGUACAAACUACAUAUGGCUUGCUCAGUUGAUCCAUGCCCUUCUUUGCUUCAUCUCAUGUGCUUGCUUUAUGCCAGGAAGGGCCAAAUUUUGUGUUUUCUUUUGAAAGAACAGUUGGAAUAUUGGUCCUGUAGGUAACUGAAUGAUAUGAUCUGCGGCGAGUCAUGCAUGAGAUGUCAUAUUGCAUUUUUAAAAAGAUUAUCAUGAUUUUUUCAGUAGCCUUAGAGAUUGAUACUCGAAGAGGUAGGAAUACAACAUGAGAGAUCAUUAAUUAUUAAUACAAUCAAAUUGAUCUUCUUCGGAAUUUUUUUUUCCUUUUGGCCGGAGGGAGUGGGGCUGGUGGUAGAAUUUGAAGCGAACAACUCACAAUGAUAUCCUUUUGGGGUCUUAUUUCAACAUCAGUCUCCUGAUUCACUUUCACAUGUGGCAGUCAAGCCUAUCCAGAGCAGGAAUAAUUUUUCUCAGCCUUAAUCCAUUGGAACAAAUUGUUGAAAUUCUUGCCAGAGCUCCCAUCUUUGGUAACACUGUUGAUAACCUUGGUUUUUAAUUUUAAGGCCCUUUUUUUGUAUUCUCCAACAGUGAGAAGCUGCUCAAUUUUAUUCUUUAUUUCUUCUCGUGCAAUGAUUCCAUUGGC